UACGUAGGGCGCAAGCGUUGUCCGGAAUUAUUGGGCGUAAAGAGCUCGUAGGCGGUUUGUCGCGUCUGCCGUGAAAGUCCGGGGCUCAACUCCGGAUCUGCGGUGGGUACGGGCAGACUAGAGUGAUGUAGGGGAGACUGGAAUUCCUGGUGUAGCGGUGAAAUGCGCAGAUAUCAGGAGGAACACCGAUGGCGAAAGCAGGUCUCUGGGCAUUAACUGACGCUGAGGAGCGAAAGCAUGGGGAGCGAACAGG
rnacentral:rRNA from 1 species